GUUUAGUAUUUUUAAGACUUAAUGAGAUGUAAUUUAAGAAAAAUAGAAUCUACACACAUGAUUUUAUCGAAAUUGCAACAAAUUCUAAAAAAAAAUUAAAAUUUCAUUUGUUUGUAUUAAACUAUAAAAAGGUCACUAGCAGACACAUUUGCCUUAAAACUGCUGUCUAAUUUUGAAAGAAUAAUAUUGAUUGCCAAUACAUUUUUUCUCUCAGUAACAAAAAUAUUUCUUAAUGUCCUUGCAAGAUCUGGCAGACGGCUAUAAACUAAAUACUUUUGUUCAUUUUCUGAAGAUCUUGUCAUGGCUUCAAGAGCCUUGGCAGCUUGUUUUGCUUUGACUUUUUCCAAUAAUGAAGCUGAUCAAAUUCCGGGUGCCAGCGAACUAGUUUAUUAUCAGGUAUGAUCAUCGGAGGAUCCAAUGAUGACAAGUAUUGAGCAUGAUGUUUUUUCACAAGUCGAAGCAAUGUCUCAUAAAAGAAUCUACGUCU